rnacentral:rRNA from 1 species
CCUGGUUGAUCCUGCCAGUAAUCAUAUGCUUGUCUCAAAGAUUAAGCCAUGCAUGUCUAAGUACAUGCCGAAAUAAGGCGAAACCGCGAAUGGCUCAUUAAAUCAGUUAUGGUUCCUUAGAUCGUUUCUUCCUACUUGGAUAACUGUGGCAAUUCUAGAGCUAAUACAUGCAGUGAGCCUGGAGCCCUUUGGGUAACGGGUGCUUUUAUUAGACCAAGAUCGAUCGGGUUUCGGCCCGUAUUGUGUGGUGACUCUGGAUAACUUUGUGCUGAUCGCAUGGCCACGAGCCGGCGACGUUUCUUUCAAGUGUCUGCCUUAUCAACUUUCGAUGGUAGGUUACUUGCUUACCAUGGUUGUUACGGGUAACGGAGAAUCAGGGUUCGAUUCCGGAGAGGGAGCCUGAGAAACGGCUACCACAUCCAAGGAAGGCAGCAGGCGCGCAAAUUACCCACUCCCGGCACGGGGAGGUAGUGACGAAAAAUAACAAUACGGGACUCUUUUGAGGCCCCGUAAUUGAAAUGAGUACACUCUAAAUCCUUUAACGAGGAUCAAUUGGAGGGCAAGUCUGGUGCCAGCAGCCGCGGYAAUUCCAGCUCCAAUAGCGUAUACUAAAGCUGCUGCGGUUAAAAAGCUCGUAGUUGGAUCUCAGUUCCAGACGAGUAGUGCAUCUACCCGAUGCGACGGCUCGGACUGAACAUCAUGCCGGUUCUUUCUUGGUGCACUUCAUUGUGUGCCUCGAGAUGGCCGGUGCAUUUACUUUGAAAAAAUUAGAGUGCUCAACGCAGGCGAGUCGCCUGAAUAAACUUGCAUGGAAUAAUAGAACAAGACCUCGUUUCUGUUCUGUUGGUUUUUGGAAUACGAGGUAAUGAUUAAGAGGGACGGACGGGGGCAUUCGUAUUGCGGCGCUAGAGGUGAAAUUCUUGGACCGUCGCAAGACGAACUACUGCGAAAGCAUUUGCCAAGAAUGUUUUCAUUGAUCAAGAACGAAAGUCAGAGGUUCGAAGGCGAUCAGAUACCGCCCUAGUUCUGACCAUAAACGAUGCCAACCAGCGAUCCGCCUGAGUUACUCAAAUGACUCGGCGGGCAGCUUCCGG